AGUGAACGCUGGCGGCAGGCCUAAUACAUGCAAGUCGAACGGCAGCACGGCAGAGCUUGCUCUGUGGGUGGCGAGUGGCGGACGGGUGAGGAAUACAUGGGAAUCUGCCCAGUCGUGGGGGAUAACGUAGGGAAACUUACGCUAAUACCGCAUGCGCCCUUCGGGGGAAAGCCGGGGACCUUCGGGCCUGGCGCGAUUGGAUGAGCCCAUGUCGGAUUAGCUAGUUGGCGGGGUAAUGGCCCACCAAGGCGACGAUCCGUAGCUGGUCUGAGAGGAUGAUCAGCCACACUGGAACUGAGACACGGUCCAGACUCCUACGGGAGGCAGCAGUAGGGAAUAUUGGACAAUGGGCACAAGCCUGAUCCAGCCAUGCCGCGUGAGUGAAGAAGGCCCUCGGGUUGUAAAGCUCUUUUGUCCGGAAAGAAAAGCGCCGGGUUAAUACCCUGGUGUCCUGACGGUACCGGAAGAAUAAGCACCGGCUAACUUCGUG
rnacentral:rRNA from 1 species